CACUCAAAACCAGAACUACAUUCUGAGGGAGAAGUUAAGCUUUUUCAGGCAGGUUUGUGAGUGACAGCUGUUCAUUAACAGCAUGAUGUCCUCCUCCCUCUCACGAAGAAGUGGUGGCUACAACAUUUCAGGUCUCAUUCACCCUACUGGCCAGUCAAAAAGAGAAAAAA
rnacentral:lncRNA from 1 species